GGCGGGAGGAGCCUCCGGGAAAUCUGCUUUUGUUCAUGCAUGCAGCAGACUUGGAGAAGCUGAUUUGUCACCACCUCCAGUAGUAGAGUUCCAUUAGUUCAAACCAGUCAAAUCAUGGCAUUUCCCUGUAAACUCUUAUUUGUACCGAUCAGAUUUGAAGGGAAGUAGACAUUCUGUUUCUGGGGGAGAAGAUUCUUUCCUCUCUUGUAUGUGAACAAGGGAACACAAGGCCCCUAUUGCUACCGACAGCUGUCUUGGGAUCACAAGGGAUGAAGCACUUCCUGAAGAUGGCAGAUCAGAGAGGUAGAGGGUAUCUGGAUCCUUGGUAACAUCAUUUAACCACAUAUUUUAUUGGGCCUGGAGCCAUCCCCACCACAGGACUUCUCAUGACAGAUAAUUUUCUUAAUGUUUCAGACAGUUCUUUGGAGUUAUUUGCCAUCAAAAAUCUCUUUUUUUUUUUUUUGAGACAGGGUCUCGCUCUGUCACCCAGGCUGGAGUGCAGUGAUACAAUCACAGCUCACUCCAACCUUGACCUCUUGGGUUCAGCAGUCCUCCUGCUUCAGGCUUCUGAGAAGUAGCCACCACACCUGGCUACUUUAAAAAAAUUAUUUGUAGAGGCAGGGUCUCCCUGUAUUGCCCAGGCGUCUUGAACUCCUGGUCUCAAGUGAUCCUCCCACCUCAGUCUCCCAAAGUGUUGGGAUUACAGGUGUGAACCACUGCACCUGGCCCAAAAUCUCUUGAUUGAUACAGUCCUCUUUAUUUUUCAAGAUCAAGUUAUGAUACCUUUACCAACAGUCAUACAUUCUUUUGGAACUUUGCACAAUAGUCAUAUGUUCUUUUAGAACUUUACACUUCUAUUCUUUAUUGCCCUGUAUUAUAAUUGCUUGUAUGCCUGACUCCUCUACAUGACUGUAUGGUUUGAACCAAAGUGUACGGGAUGUCGCACAGUGUCUAAUAGUGUCACACAACAAGUAAUAGGUAUUCAGUAAGUGAGUUAAGAUGAAAUAGUAACAUGAAAGAGUGCUUUGAAA
rnacentral:lncRNA from 1 species